GUUCCAUAAGCUAAAUUGGCCUAGCGUUCGUUUUGUAAUCGAAAGUUUUAAAGUUCGAAUCUUUAAUGGAACA